GAAUAAAGGUGGUGACCUUUGCAUUUUCCAUAAUGGCCUUUCUUUCACCAUGAUCUGAUAUUGAUUUGCAGAAGUGGAAUGGAUGGAAAAAAGAAUGACAAGCAAUUUAGCCCGUCUCUCUCCAUGGAGCUCCUGUGGAUCAGCUUCCAC